UGGCUCAGAUUGAACGCUGGCGGCAGGCCUAACACAUGCAAGUCGAGCGGAUGAAGGGAGCUUGCUCCUGGAUUCAGCGGCGGACGGGUGAGUAAUGCCUAGGAAUCUGCCUGGUAGUGGGGGAUAACGUCCGGAAACGGGCGCUAAUACCGCAUACGUCCUGAGGGAGAAAGUGGGGGAUCUUCGGACCUCACGCUAUCAGAUGAGCCUAGGUCGGAUUAGCUAGUUGGUGGGGUAAAGGCCUACCAAGGCGACGAUCCGUAACUGGUCUGAGAGGAUGAUCAGUCACACUGGAACUGAGACACGGUCCAGACUCCUACGGGAGGCAGCAGUGGGGAAUAUUGGACAAUGGGCGAAAGCCUGAUCCAGCCAUGCCGCGUGUGUGAAGAAGGUCUUCGGAUUGUAAAGCACUUUAAGUUGGGAGGAAGGGCAGUAAGUUAAUACCUUGCUGUUUGACGUACCAACAGA
rnacentral:rRNA from 1 species